rnacentral:rRNA from 1 species
AUUGAACGCUGGCGGCGUGCCUAACACAUGCAAGUCGAGCGGUAACAGGUGUAGCAAUACAUGCUGACGAGCGGCGAACGGGUGAGUAAUGCUUCGGAAUCUACCUUAUGGUGGGGAAUAACUAGCCGAAAGGUUAGCUAAUACCGCAUACGUCCUACGGGAGAAAGCAGGGGAUCGCAAGACCUUGCGCCAAAAGAUGAGCCGAAGUCGGAUUAGCUAGUUGGUAGGGUAACGGCCUACCAAGGCGACGAUCCGUAGCUGGUCUGAGAGGACGACCAGCCACACUGGGACUGAGACACGGCCCAGACUCCUACGGGUGGCAGCAGUGGGGAAUAUUGGACAAUGGGGGAAACCCUGAUCCAGCGACGCCGCGUGUGUGAAGAAGGCCUGCGGGUUGUAAAGCACUUUUAGUGGGGAUGAAAUGUGCAGGGUUAAUACCUCUGCAUUUUGACCUAACCCACAGAAAAAGCACCGGCUAACUACGUGCCAGCCGCCGCCGUAA